rnacentral:tRNA from 1 species
GCCGAGGUGGCGGAAUGGUAGACGCGCAGGUCUCAAAAACCUGUAAAGAUAACACUUUGUGGAGGUUCGACUCCUCUCCUCGGCACAA